rnacentral:rRNA from 1 species
GAUGAACGCUGGCGGCGUGCCUAAUACAUGCAAGUCGAGCGAACAGACGAGGAGCUUGCUCCUCUGACGUUAGCGGCGGACGGGUGAGUAACACGUGGAUAACCUACCUAUAAGACUGUGAUAACUUCGGGAAACCGGAGCUAAUACCGGAUAACAUGUUGAACCGCAUGGUUCAACAGUGAAAGACGGUCUUGCUGUCACUUAUAGAUGGAUCCGCGCCGCAUUAGCUAGUUGGUAAGGUAACGGCUUACCAAGGCAACGAUGCGUAGCCGACCUGAGAGGGUGAUCGGCCACACUGGAACUGAGACACGGUCCAGACUCCUACGGGAGGCAGCAGUAGGGAAUCUUCCGCAAUGGGCGAAAGCCUGACGGAGCAACGCCGCGUGAGUGAAGAAGGUCUUCGGAUCGUAAAACUCUGUUAUUAGGGAAGAACAAAUGUGUAAGUAACUAUGCACGUCUUGACGGUACCUAAUCAGAAAGCCACGGCUAACUACGUG